UGGUGUUCUGUCCUUUCUCACGUCCUGAGCUUGGCUGCCGGGACACGACCCCUCGUCGAAGCACCUCUUAGCACCCCUGGGGUCUACUCUCAGUGCUGGG